rnacentral:rRNA from 1 species
GACGAACGCUGGCGGCGUGCUUAACACAUGCAAGUCGAACGGAAAGGCCCUGCUUUUGUGGGGUGCUCGAGUGGCGAACGGGUGAGUAACACGUGAGUAACCUGCCCUUGACUUUGGGAUAACUUCAGGAAACUGGGGCUAAUACCGGAUAGGAGCUCCUGCUGCAUGGUGGGGGUUGGAAAGUUUCGGCGGUUGGGGAUGGACUCGCGGCUUAUCAGCUUGUUGGUGGGGUAGUGGCUUACCAAGGCUUUGACGGGUAGCCGGCUUGAGAGGGUGACCGGCCACAUUGGGACUGAGAUACGGCCCAGACUCCUACGGGAGGCAGCAGUGGGGAAUAUUGCACAAUGGACGGAAGCCUGAUGCAGCAACGCCGCGUGCGGGAUGACGGCCUUCGGGUUGUAAACCGCUUUCGCCUGUGACGAAGCGUGAGUGACGGUAAUGGGUAAAGAAGCACCGGCUAACUACGUG